rnacentral:rRNA from 1 species
UACGGAGGAUCCAAGCGUUAUCCGGAAUCAUUGGGUUUAAAGGGUCCGUAGGCGGUCUAAUAAGUCAGUGGUGAAAGCCCAUCGCUCAACGAUGGAACGGCCAUUGAUACUGUUAGACUUGAAUUACUGGGAAGUAACUAGAAUAUGUAGUGUAGCGGUGAAAUGCUUAGAUAUUACAUGGAAUACCAAUUGCGAAGGCAGGUUACUACCAGUGGAUUGACGCUGAUGGACGAAAGCGUGGGGAGCGAACAGGAUUAGAUACCCUGGUAGUCCACGCCGUAAACGAUGGAUACUAGCUGUUGGGAGUAAUCUCAGUGGCUAAGCGAAAGUGAUAAGUAUCCCACCUGGGGAGUACGUUCGCAAGAAUG